CAGCUUCCAGGGAGGAAGAGGAGGGGGUGAUGUGCUAGUGAGGUUGGCAUGGUGAAAAUGCACCAGCAGAACCAAUCUGGUGCUUCCGUUGGUGUGUUUGCACCAUGCCAACCUCACUGCCACAUAGCCCCUCCCUUUCUACCUUUCAAUAAAGCA